ensembl:lncRNA PPP1R26-AS1 PPP1R26 antisense RNA 1
CCUCACUACAAGCGUCCCCCAGCAAAGCUGCACCGCCAUUUCCUGUGCUUGGGAACUGAAGGCAAGGUGAGCCCCUCCCGGCUGCCCCGGCCCGACCUCCCCUGACUCCCAAGCUUGGGCUACUCACGGCCUGCGGGCUGGGCAGGGUCCCCCAAGGGAGCUCCCCUCCCCGAGGGCGCGCUCACCCUAGCCGCUGGGAUCGGCGACCUGGUCCUCGGCCCGGCGGGAGUGAACGCCUCCCAGGGAAGAGGCCGGGCCUCCAAGCAGGUCUGCACCCCCGGAGUUAUGUUUCUGGGAUCCGAGGACUAGCGAGCUUGGGGCCCGGGAGAGCGGCCACCCUCCCGGAAGCUCCGCCUGGCGCAGGGCGUGAACCGCAGUCUCCAGGCCGGCCGGGCCGCGGCCAUUCUCGGAGGGCAGCGGCCGC